rnacentral:rRNA from 1 species
UGAGUAACACGUAUCCAACCUGCCGUCUACUCUUGGACAGCCUUCUGAAAGGAAGAUUAAUACAAGAUGGCAUCAUGAGUUCACAUGUUCACAUGAUUAAAGGUAUUCCGGUAGACGAUGGGGAUGCGCUCCAUUAGAUAGUAGGCGGGGUAACGGCCCACCUAGUCUUCGAUGGAUAGGGGUUCUGAGAGGAAGGUCCCCCACAUUGGAACUGAGACACGGUCCAA